AUACCUUUCUCGGCCCUUUGUCUAACAUCAAGUGUACUAUUUGUUCUUAUCAGUUUAAUAUUUGAUAUGUUGAUCACUGAUCCCUAUGAUAUUAAAUUAAAUUUUAUUGGGGAGAUCCCACCACAAUAGCUUUCAAUUAGAGUUCUCGACUGUCUUUUGUCUAUUACACUAUUGCAUAGAUCCAACAUAUUGUUA